rnacentral:rRNA from 1 species
AUUGAACGCUGGCGGCAUGCCUUACACAUGCAAGUCGAACGGCAGCACGGACUUCGGUCUGGUGGCGAGUGGCGAACGGGUGAGUAAUGUAUCGGAACGUACCUUUCAGUGGGGGGAUAACGUAGCGAAAGUUACGCUAAUACCGCAUAUUCUGUGAGCAGGAAAGCAGGGGAUCGCAAGACCUUGCGCUGAUUGAGCGGCCGAUACCAGAUUAGCUAGUUGGUGGGGUAAAGGCCUACCAAGGCGACGAUCUGUAGCGGGUCUGAGAGGAUGAUCCGCCACACUGGAACUGAGACACGGUCCAGACUCCUACGGGAGGCAGCAGUGGGGAAUUUUGGACAAUGGGGGCAACCCUGAUCCAGCCAUGCCGCGUGAGUGAAGAAGGCCUCGGUUGGUUAAAGACGUCUUUCGGUCCGGG